rnacentral:lncRNA from 1 species
GUGAUUUUGUUGGAGAUACGGGAAGUUCAAUCCAAGACAUUAGUUGCUAUUGGCAGAAGAAUGAGUCCAAAUUGUCAACUGGGUUUACAAUCCGAUGGGUUGGUGACUGAAAUAACUUUAGGGUUACCAACUCUCUGCCCAAUUUGGAAAAAGGCGCCAUUUAAAGGUAAAUUAGAGAAAUUACGAAUAGUGAAAAGAGAAGUAAGUGAUGAUAAUUGGCAGGAACCAUCAUCUAGUGUAAAAUUAGGAUGGGCUCUGGAAUCAUUGUUUGCUCCAAUCAGCACUUAUCGGAAUAGGGAAAUGCUAUAUCAAUUGCUAGGGCAAACAGAGAGGUUAGCACGGGUAACUAAAGAAGGAUUUAAGGAAAUAAACUUACAAUUACAGGCAACCACAAAAAUGACCCUGCAAAAUAGAAUGGCAUUGGAUAUGCUGUUACUAAAAGAACAUGGGGUAUGUGGUUAUUUACGAGAUAAGAUUGAUCAUUGUUGUGUACAUAUUCCGAAUGUUACAGCCGCAGUAGAACGUGAUUUGUCUCAGUUAACACAAAUUGAACAUGCAACUGAGGAAGAAAGAGAGGAAAGUACCCAUAAUUGGGUUGCUGCCUUAGCAAAGUCAUUUGGAUUGAACAUCUCUGGUUGGGUAGCAUCUUUAAUUCAAUGGUGUAUAAUAAUUAUAAUUAUUAUGUUAGCUAUUAUGGGAGUGUUGAGUUUGAUUCAAAACAUUGUUGUUUCGGAACGACAACGGAUGGGAAAAAUUUUGAAAGCUUUUACUAGGAAGAAUUAUGAACUACCACCACGAUAUGAAGAUCUUGGGAUAAAUUCAUCAUUUUCCCCACYGCAACCACYGCAAUUACCCAUUUAGACACCAUGAAUAGGAUGAUUGAAAAUCCUUGCAGUCUGAAAGACUUGAAGUAUUUUCAAAAGGGGGAAUUGUUACAUUAUAUUGAUUAAAAUAGGCUAUAUUUGGGAUUUUCGCAUGGAAGUAUAAUCACAGGUGCUGGGUAACUGUAUGGUCUGAUGAACUAGGUAAAUGAUAAACGAAUCUUGGCAACAGUAACUGAAGAAACCGUAAAUGGGAAACAAUCAUGUAACUUAGCAAUUCUGUUGAUUAUGUUAAGUAACCGAAUACUAUAGCAAC